CCUACGGGAGGCAGCAGUGAGGAAUAUUGGUCAAUGGACGAGAGUCUGAACCAGCCAAGUAGCGUGAAGGAUGACUGCCCUAUGGGUUGUAAACUUCUUUUAUAUGGGAAUAAAAUGUUCCACGUGUGGGACUUUGUAUGUACCAUAUGAAUAAGGAUCGGCUAACUCCGUGCCAGCAGCCGCGGUAAUACGGAGGAUCCGAGCGUUAUCCGGAUUUAUUGGGUUUAAAGGGAGCGUAGGUGGAUUGUUAAGUCAGUUGUGAAAGUUUGCGGCUCAACCGUAAAAUUGCAGUUGAAACUGGCAGUCUUGAGUACAGUAGAGGUGAGCGGAAUUCGUGGUGUAGCGGUGAAAUGCUUAGAUAUCACGAAGAACUCCAAUGGCGAAGGCAGCUCACUGGACUGCAACUGACACUGAGGCUCGAAAGUGUGGGUAUCAAACAGGAUUAGAUACCCGGGUAGUC
rnacentral:rRNA from 1 species